UACGUAGGGUGCAAGCGUUAAUCGGAAUUACUGGGCGUAAAGCGUGCGCAGGCGGUGAUGUAAGACAGAGGUGAAAUCCCCGGGCUCAACCUGGGAACUGCAUUUGUGACUGCAUCGCUGGAGUGCGGCAGAGGGGGAUGGAAUUCCGCGUGUAGCAGUGAAAUGCGUAGAUAUGCGGAGGAACACCGAUGGCGAAGGCAAUCCCCUGGGCCUGCACUGACGCUCAUGCACGAAAGCGUGGGGAGCAAACAGG
rnacentral:rRNA from 1 species